GACGAACGCUGGCGGCGUGCCUAAUACAUGCAAGUAGAACGCUGAAGAGAGGAGCUUACUCUUCUUGGAUGAGUUGCGAACGGGUGAGUCACGCGUAUGUAACCUGCCUUGUAGCGGGGGAUCACUAUUGGAAACGAUAGCUAAUACCGCAUAACAAUGGAUGACACAUUUCAUUUAUUUGAAAGUGGCAAUUGCUCCACUACAAGACGGACCUGCGUUGUAUUAGCUAGUAGGUGAGGUAGUGUGUCACCUAGGCGAGGAUACAUAGCCGACCUGAGAGGGGGAGCGGCCAAGCUGGGACGGGGACACGGCCCAGACUCCUGCGGGAGGCAGCAGUAGGGAAUCUUCGGCAAUGGGGGCAACCCUGAACGAGCGACGCCGCGUGAGUGAAGAAGGUUUUCGGAUCGUGAAGCUCUGUUGUAAGUCAAGAACGGGUGUGAGAGUGGAAAGUUCACACUGUGACGGUAGCUUACGAGAAAGGGACGGCUAACUACGUG
rnacentral:rRNA from 1 species